UCACAAAUCAUUGACACAAAGCGUCAGAGGAUGUGACGGUAUCCGCGGCGGUUGGGACUUUGGACGAUCGUUUAUCCGGCGGAGGUAUUGAAAUUGGCGAGGCUCCGAUACCGAACCACCGAACGACCCCAUCCUCAGCAUCUACAAGUCUCCCUAGUCGCUGGUGGAGGACUAUGAAAGCUCAGAGUCUGAGGCAUGACCAGAGUUUGUUCUUCGUAUCUUUGGGCUUAUCAGUAUCAGUUGACUCUCUGAGUUUGUUCUCAUGCUUUGCCCACAUGGGCUUAGUGGGGGAUGCCGUGAUUUCCCUCUCGGAGUUCCUGAACACAAAAUCCAAAAGUGCAAGCCUGACGCUCUUUUCACCAGUUUUGAAACAUGCUUCUUCUUGCUCAUCAUACCUACAUCAUUUGAAAUUGACAAUCUUCUUUCCUUCUCCUGCUCAUCUGAUCCAGUUCCACCCUCGUCCUCGCUACACGAAGC